UACGGAGGGUGCAAACGUUGCUCGGAAUCAUUGGGCGUAAAGCGCACGUAGGCGGCGGCGUAAGCGGGAUGUGAAAGCCCGGAGCUCAACUCCGGAAUUGCCUUUAAGACUGCAUCGCUAGAAUCAUGGAGAGGUGAGUGGAAUUCCGAGUGUAGAGGUGAAAUUCGUAGAUAUUCGGAAGAACACCAGUGGCGAAGGCGACUCACUGGACCGGUUCUGACGCUGAGGCGCGAAAGCCAGGGGAGCAAACGGG
rnacentral:rRNA from 1 species